rnacentral:rRNA from 1 species
UACGUAGGUGGCAAGCGUUGUCCGGAAUUAUUGGGCGUAAAGCGCGCGCAGGUGGUUCCUUAAGUCUGAUGUGAAAGCCCACGGCCCAACCGUGGAGGGUCAUUGGAAACUGGGGAACUUGAGUGCAGAAGAGGAAAGUGGAAUUCCAAGUGUAGCGGUGAAAUGCGUAGAGAUUUGGAGGAACACCAGUGGCGAAGGCGACUUUCUGGUCUGUAACUGACACUGAGGCGCGAAAGCGUGGGGAGCAAACAGG